GCCUGGGUGGCUCAGUGGUUAAGCGUCCGAUUUCGGCUCAGGUCAUGAUCUCGCGGUUUGUGAGUUCGACCCCCGCCUCAGGCU
rnacentral:tRNA from 1 species